rnacentral:lncRNA from 1 species
CCCAAGUGUAAAUCAAAACUCUAAUUGUCCUUUGCUAAGGGCCCCAGUCUGAAGUGACUGCCUCCCAGGAGAAGUUCUGCUCAUAUACAUAUAAACACACCCACAUAUCUCCCUACCUCACGGACCAUUUUUUCAUGAUGGUGUGGGCCCCUUUCAGUAAAUUUAGGAUUAGAUGUAAAUCUAUAUGGUCCUCUCAUCUCCUAAUAUUGAUUUCCUAACUGUCAAAAUUGAGGCAUUUCCAAAUGCUUCCAGGAGACUGUGUACAGCUGUACAUUGGUAGAGGUAUUUAAUCACAAUUUAAACAGUUCUAUGAGAAAAAUAUUUUUUUCAUCACCUCUUGUGUCAGAUGCGCAGUCUGUGUCUAUUUCCAACCCUGUGUUUACCUUCAUCUCCGAGUGGUUUUUCUUUGUGUGCUGUGUUCUCGUGGGCAGCAAUCCUGAGCCUCUUAUGGUCUGGUAAAACUGGAGGUAGGAAUUGUAGUGACUGAUAUCAAAUAUGGGGUCAUGUCCUUCUAGAAUCUCUCUCAGUGGAACAUAGAUAUCAACACUUUUUACAUGUUGCAAGUGAUUAUAAUAUACAGCCAAUGUUGAGUACCAUUGCCUUAGGGGCUGAUCCAAGUGAAACACAAGGAAAACAUUCCUGACAUCUACUGACAACUCACAUUUGUAUAAGAUAUGACAGCUUGAAAAAAAGAUUCUAGCUGCAUUAUCCCAUAUUUUUUCUACAACCACCUUAGAAAUUAUUAUCACUCUUCAUCUUUCAGACACAGAAAUUGACUUGAAACUCAAUAACACUACCAUAUUGUAACUACCAUAUCCCCCGACACUUCAUCAAUCUGAGAUAGGUUACUGGAUGUUCACAUUCAGUCAAUAUUUAGGACUUGCAGAAAUGAUAGAAGAAU